UACGGAGGGGGCGAGCGUUGUUCGGAAUUACUGGGCGUAAAGGGCAUGUAGGCGGUUCUGUAAGCCUGACGUGAAAGGCUAUGGCUCAACCAUGGCACUGCGUUGGGAACUGCGGGACUUGAAUCAUGGAGGGGGAGCUGGAAUUCCAGGUGUAGGGGUGAAAUCUGUAGAUAUCUGGAAGAACACCAGUGGCGAAGGCGAGCUCCUGGCCAAUGAUUGACGCUGAGGUGCGAAAGUGUGGGGAUCAAACAGG
rnacentral:rRNA from 1 species